UUUGAUCCUGGCUCAGAACGAACGCUGGCGGCGUGGAUAAGACAUGCAAGUCGAACGAGGUAUUAUUUGUAGCAAUACAAGUGAUGCUUAGUGGCGCAAGGGUGCGUAACACGUGGGCAACCUGCCCUGAAGUUGGGGAUAGCCCGCCGAAAGGCGGAUUAAUACCGAAUGUGGCGAGGAAAGACAUCUUUCCGUAGCUAAAGCCGGGGCAACCUGGCGCUUCUGGAUGGGCCCGCGGCCUAUCAGCUAGUUGGUGAGGUAACGGCUCACCAAGGCGAUGACGGGUAGCUGGUCUGAGAGGACGACCAGCCACACUGGAACUGAGACACGGUCCAGACACCUACGGGUGGCAGCAGUCGAGAAUUUUUCUCAAUGGGGGAAACCCUGAAGGAGCG
rnacentral:rRNA from 1 species